rnacentral:lncRNA from 1 species
UUCUCCUGCCUCAGCCUCCCGAGUAGCUGGAACUACAGGCGCCCGCCAUGAUGCCCGGCUCAUUUUCUGUGUUUUCAGUAGAGACGGGGUUUCACUGUGUUAGCCAGGAAAGUCUUGAUCUCCUGACCUCGUGAUCCUGACCUCGGCCUCCCAAAGUGCUGGGAUUACAGGCGCGAGCCACCGCGCCCGACAGCAGUUAUGAAGUUCUAAAAGCAAGUCUUAAUCAGGAAGUGUCCUUGAUCACCAACGGCUCGCCCAGGCAUGCUGGCUCUCUUCCACUUCCACCUUCCACCAUGGGAUGACGCAGUAAGAAGGCCAUCAGUAGAUGCCAGUCCCUCAACCUUGAACUUUCCAGACGCAGAACUUUAUGCCUCCAUUUUCCUCUGCUGCAUGGCCCCAGGAGAGAUUUUAAUUAGCUUUCUAACCUUGGUCCAGAUUGCACAUGCAAAUGGUAGAGGAUGCAACACCCCCGCUUGUGGAGCUGCCGCUUGUGUCUGGCAUGAAAAUUCACAAGAAGAGAGGAAAUACUGAGGAGAAAAUGGCAGAUUGUGUUUGCUGAAUUUGAUUGACGAAGAAGUCACCAUGAAAAUCACAGUGAACCAUUUGGAAAGCAAACUGCCAAAAAAUAAUAGUUAGUCAUGCUCUCAGGCUGGUUGUUUUGGCUGUUGUGGGUUUCUUGCAUUUCCAGAUGAUUGCAAAGAGCUGUUUCUCAAUUUCUGCAACAAGUGCCAGCUGAAAUUUUGGUACCAGUUUCAUUAAAUAUGUAGAACAAUUUGAGCCUGAGUGAGUUCUGUGGAGCCCAUACUACCUGCGAUUCAAGCCAGCAACCUUGGAAUCUCCCUGAACAAUUUCUAUGGUGUCCAAUCACAUUUGCAAUCACUCCCCACACUCAGUAGGUUCUGCCCCCACAUCAUUUCUUUUCUCUAUCCUCUUUCCCAGCUUUAUAAUAUGACUUAGUUCAAGCCCUAAUCACUGGAUUAUUCAAAGUCCCUUAACAGGUUAAUUCCUACUGUGAUCAACACUUUAAAGGAAGGCAAUAGGGCCAGGCAUGGUGGCUCACGGCUGUAAUCCCAGCACUUUGGGAGGCUGAGGCGAGUGGAUCACAAGGUCGGGAGUUUGAGACCAGCCUGACUAACACAGUGAAACCCCGACUCUACUAAAAAUACAAAAAAUUAGCCAGGUGUGGUCGUGGGUACCUGUAGUCCCAGCUACUAGGGAGGCUGAGGCAGGAGAAUGGCGUGAACCCGAGAGGCGGAGCUUGCAGUGAGCCAAGAUUACGCCACUGCACUCCAGCCUGGGUGACGGAGCGAGACUCCAUCUCAAAAAAAAUAAAAAAUAAAUAAAACAGAAAGGCAAUGGCUAUCCCAAAUUGCUGAAGCCUUUGCUAAAAGCACAGACAGAAAACAACAAUAUGGUGAUGUUUGUGUUAAACAAAUGUUAUUGAUUCUAGGACACAGGUCAGAUGGCAAAUAGUCAAACUCAAAUGUUGAUCCCAGGGGUGGCUGUAUCAUCACUAAGGCCAAAUCACAACUUUGACUGGUCUCAUGGGAACACAGAUCUUGGGUUUGGAAAGAGCACAGGCCUGGCCAUGGGAAUGGACACAGGGUAAUUUUAAGAUGACUAGAGGUUCCUCAAACCCUAAAAGUACCACUGAACCUUGUUUAAAGCUAAAAUGGCUCCUAAAUGAUAGACACGUUUCUCAGUUAUCUCUGCAAACUGAAGAUCCUAUCAGCCUGUUCAGGGUCUCACAGGCCUCUGGGUUUGUACAUGAUGUCCCUACAGUGGCGAUGGGGACUGAUGAGAGCCACCGUUCCCAUUGGAGGAGGGCAAGCUGCCACUGAGUGUCAGCUGCUGGAGUAAACAUCCAAUCACAUGUGUACCUGUAUCCUAUGGAUAUUGGCUUCCCCUCAUACAACUUGUUGUUCCUUUGUUUUCCAUUCCUGACUAUAUUUGAAUCUUUCUUGGAUUUCCAGGAAACAUCUGACUGCUUUCCUAUGCCACUUCAUACCCAAGAGAAGCUCAGGGAGAUCCUUUAAGGUCCUUUAUGCCCAUUAUGAUAGUACAUGAAUAGGUAAAUGUACCACUGCUCCCUGUACUUCUUGGAUAAUGCACAAAUAGUAAGACAGUCUCGCAACCAGCAGCCUAGACAGCCCAAAUAUGUGAAACCAAAACAGCUUGAUCUUCCAGACCUGUUCUGACUCCUUGAGUCUUAAAUCUCCAAGCCUCUUGAAUGUUUCACCCACAGCCUUCCCUUUGGGAUCUGGCAUGGGACAGGAAGGGCAGAGAAGGGCCUGGGGCUUUUCCUCAGGGAUCCACCACAGUCUAGGCCAGUGGGUGGCAAACUUUUUCUGCAAAGGAUCAGCUGGGAGAUAGUUUCAACUUUGUAGUCUCGUCGCAGCUACUCUACUCGACUCUGCCACUGGAGUGUGAAUGCAGUCAUGAAUAAAAGAAUGAAAGUUUUCCAGUGAAACUUUAGUCACAAAAACAGUCUGCAGGCUGUGUCUGGCCCGUGGGCUUUGGUUUGCUGGCCUGCGGGCUCCUAGAAGGCUCUGACUUUAUCCCUCUAUGAGGGAAAGCAGGUUUUGGGGUAUUCUCCCAAAUCUUUAUACCUUAUGUCUGUGUCUCUUUUUAAAUUAAAAGUAAAAUUUAGGCCAAAAAAAAAAAAAAAAAAAAA